rnacentral:rRNA from 1 species
GGACUACAAGGGUAUCUAAUCCUGUUUGCUCCCCUAGCUUUCGCAGAUCAGUGUCAGUGAUGGCCCAGAAGCCUGCUUUCGCCAUAGGUAUUCCUCCCGAUCUCUACGCAUUUCACCGCUACACCGGGAAUUCCAGCUUCCUCUGCCACACUCUAGCCCGGCAGUUUCCCUUGACCUCUCCCAGUUGAGCCAGGAGCUUUCACAAGAGACUUACCGAACCGCCUACCUGCGCUUUACGCCUAGUGAUUCCGAGUAACGCUUGCCACCUACGUAUUACCGCGGCGGCUGGCAC